UACAUUCAAAGAAAGCAUGAUCUUACUACCACAAACUAAAGUCAAACCUGAAUCUGUCAAGGUCAUAAGUAGAGACUCCAGUUGCAAAGGCAACUUCACGGAGCGGCCGAACCUUGCUUGAAAUGGGUGUUCAUGUACAGUCCCCCUUCCAAAAUAAAAUAUCUUCACGCAACCGCAAUGCCAGGGAAGAGCACAUGAAUAUUCCUACUCUAUCCCUAAGAACACUUGAUAAGAAGGUUGACAACUUGGAUCGAGAGCUUUGGGAAGAGAUUAAGGGUGUUGAGUCUAAAGUGAUGGAGAAUAUGACUUCUAUUGAAACCAAUAUAUUGGAUGCAGUAACGAAAUCAAGGUAAAGCUUUUGAUAACAAUUAAAACUAUGAGCAUUGUUUGUUGUGGGUUCCAAGUUUUAAAUUUUCAUUGAUUUUGCUAUAUAUGUAUGUUAGGUUUUUGGGAAUGUUUUUAGUUGGGUGCUUGAUUUUGUUUGUUUCUACUGAGGUUUAAUUUGGUGAAUUCAAAAUUUGGUACAAUACCUUCAAUUUUAUGAGUAAGAGCAUGAGUAUAAGAAUGUCUAAGAAUCUUUUCUACGAAUUAGUAGGAGAACAUUUUCUGUCUAAGAACACCGAGUAAAGAAAACUGCCCAAAAGUUAUAGCACAAGAAUAUCAAAGAGCAUAUCUUUUUUGCAAUUUAAUAUGUGAGAGAGAUAUAGAGUUUUGGAGAAGCCAAUCCAAGUGGGAUCUGUGGAUUUAGAUUUUUGUAUGGAAGAGUAAUAAAGGCAGCCCUUUGCUCAAUAGUUUCUGAUGGGGACAUCAUUGUCAAACGACUUAGAGUUUAUAAGAGAAAGAGGUGGAAGAAAAGUAGUCAUACUGUCUAUAGAAAGAUAAUCUUGAGCCCAUAACUUUCAGAGUCAGUAAUCUAUAUGGAAUUUAAGUUUGGCAUUAGACUUUGAACACAUCCUAAACUAGAGGAAUCUACACAAUUCUUGGAAAUACUUAAAUUCUGAAUUUUAAAGAGCAUAAUGUGGGCAACAAAGUUAAUUAGUUUCAUACCUAUUUCCUACGGUGAAUUCCUUGUUUGCUGAUGAGUGUUGAUGCUUGGUAAAAAUUUAAUAGCUUGAGUUAAUUCUCUGUAUAUAUUUUUGUUUGGUUUAUGGGAAAAUUAAAAUUUUUUUGUUUUGGUUUAUCUUUGUAAUUGUAUUGUCUGAGAUUUAAAGACAGUGUUUUACUGAUAAUGUAGUUCUAUUCACAAUCGUUACAAGGAGUCAAUACAUCAACUUAAAUGGUGGAGGUGCAGGCAUACUUUCGUAUAGACAAAAAUCUAAACAAAAUACUCUAGUUGGUCACACCCUUGAUAGAUUAUACACAUCAUAGUUGAUAAUAGUCGAUUUCUUGGAAUUUUUAUGUACUUGCCAUUUCCAUUUUGUAGGUUGUCAUCUGACAACCAAAGAAACACAAUUGGUUUUGAAGGCCCAUAAAGAAUCUAUGAAUUUUUGAGUUGCAAGGUUAUGCAAAACUGGAAACACUUGCAGCAGUAGUUCUUGCUGCUUUGUGGAUUUUUUUACUAAUCUAGUUCUUGCAGCUAUGGGUUCAAUUGCACUUUAUCAGUUCUAACUAUGUCAUUAUAUGGAUUAUCUCCGCAAACUUUGUUGUGGUACUAGAUUUAUUGAUAUGGAAUAUAUGUACUUUAUAUUCGUGACAGAAUAUAUGUAUUUUAAGUUUUGAAAUUACUACCUUUCUUCUUUAUAUAGCAGUGAGUUGAUAGAGUUUGUCAGAUAUUGCUUUCCAGAGAUUCUUUUGAAUCUUUUUAUUUCAAAUAACUUGUAAAAUUUUCUCUGUCAUUAUUUGUGUUCCAAUUCUGAGAUUGGAUCAAUUGUUUCAAUGUCCAUAUACUAGUUCUUUGUUGCAGAGGCAACUUCAUGGUGUGCCUGUUGAAAGUCAUCCAGAGUAACUCUAAAACUCUCUUCAUACAGUUCACCCAACCUUAACUACCUAUCCAAAUCAAAUGAUGUGGC
rnacentral:lncRNA from 1 species